rnacentral:rRNA from 1 species
GUCGAGAAUCUUUCACAAUGGGGGCAACCCUGAUGGAGCGACGCCGCGUGGAGGAUAAGGUCUUCGGAUUGUAAACUCCUGUCAUGCGUGAACAAGGUUGCUUGGUUAAUACCUGGGCAAAUUGAUGGUAACGCAAGAGGAAGAGACGGCUAACUCUGUGCCAGCAGCCGCGGUAAUACAGAGGUCUCAAGCGUUGUUCGGAAUCACUGGGCGUAAAGGGUGCGUAGGUGGCGUGGUAAGUCAGAUGUGAAAGCCCGGGGCUAAACCUCGGAACUGCAUCCGAUACUGCCAUGCUAGAGUAAUGGAGAGGUGACUAGAAUUCUCGGUGUAGCAGUGAAAUGCGUGGAUAUCGAGAGGAAUACCAAAGGCGUAGGCAGGUCACUGGACAGUUACUGACACUGAGGCACGAAGGCCAGGGGAGCGAACGGGAUUAGAAACCCCUGUAGUCC